UGCUUCCCUAGUAGCCCUUUCUACCGCUUGCCGAGCCCUUUCUUUUUCAAGCUCCCUGGAUCUCUCCCUUUCUCUCUCAAGCUUCUUUUGUGCUCUUUCUUCCUCUUCCUUCUCCCACUGUCGCCUCUCAUUUUCUAGUCUCUCCCUGUUUCCUUGAAACUCUCUUUCCUGCACUUCAUUUAUUGCUUGUUCAUCUCUUUCCAGAUGUACAGCUUCCUUACUCUUAGCAGACUUUGCAUAUUCUCUUUCUCGGACUUCCUUAGCAUGUCUAAAUUUG
rnacentral:misc_RNA from 1 species